rnacentral:sRNA from 1 species
UUUCGAUGGGCAUUGUCUUGCGCGAUGG